ensembl:snRNA U1 U1 spliceosomal RNA
AUACUUACCUGGCAGGGGAGAUACCAUGAUCACGAAGGUGGUUUUCCCAGGGCGAGGCUUAUCCAUUGCACUCUGGAUGUGCUGACCCCUGCGAUUUCCCCAAAUGUGGGAAACUCGACUGCAUAAUUUGUGGUAGUGGGGGACUGCGUUCGUGCUCUCCCCUG